rnacentral:rRNA from 1 species
AGAACGAACGCUGGCGGCAGGCCUAAUACAUGCAAGUCGAACGCACUCUUCGGAGUGAGUGGCAGACGGGUGAGUAACGCGUGGGAACCUUCCCAAUGGUACGGAAUAACUCCGGGAAACCGGUGCUAAUACCGUAUAAGCCCCUGGGGGAAAGAUUUAUCGCCAUUGGAUGGGCCCGCGUCGGAUUAGCUAGUUGGUAAGGUAAUGGCUUACCAAGGCUACGAUCCGUAGCUGGUCUGAGAGGAUGAUCAGCCACACUGGGACUGAGAUACGGCCCAGACUCCUAGGGAGGCAGCAGUAGGGAAUCUUGGACAAGUGGCGAAAGCCUGAUCCAGCCAUGCCGACGUGAGUGAAGAAGGCCUUAAGGGUGUAAAGCUUCGUUUUGGCGGGAC